CUGAGUAGCUGGGACUACAGGCACACACCACCACAUCGAAGUGUUCAGACAGUGUCAUCCGGACUCUGCCUCUGCAUCUUUCAGUUCUGCUUCAACAUCGGCUCCUGCUUCAGUAGGCUGUGAAGGUGCUGCACUGAGACAACAUUACCGACUUUAUGAUAUGUGGUAGUUAAGAGUAUACAGAGGGGAAGAAAUCACAUCCAGUAAGUUGUUUGCUUAACAUACUUAUCAUAGUUCUCACUUAUAAGCUAAUUUAAGCAAUUUUUUAGGUAUACAUAUUCUAAGCUAAAUCUAACAUAGCUUUAUUUUCUGAUCUCAAAGAAGAUCUUAAUUCCACUGAAAUUAUUGUUAUCAAUAUCACUGUUUCAUAUGCUUGUUAAUAUUUAGAUAUUGUGAUACCUACAUACAUACAUACAUAUUUGAUAAAAUAUAGCAAUAGAUAUACCUAGAAAUACAUCUACCUUUUUUAA